UACGUAGGGGGCUAGCGUUGUCCGGAAUCAUUGGGCGUAAAGCGCGUGUAGGCGGUCCGGUAAGUCCGCUGUGAAAGUCGGGGGCUCAACCCUCGGAUGCCGGUGGAUACUGUCGGGCUUGAGUACGGGAGAGGAGAGUGGAAUUCCCAGUGUAGAGGUGAAAUUCGUAGAUAUUGGGAAGAACACCGGUGGCGAAGGCGGCUCUCUGGACCGUAACUGACGCUGAGGCGCGAAAGCGUGGGGAGCAAACAGG
rnacentral:rRNA from 1 species